rnacentral:misc_RNA from 1 species
GUGAAGAACGCAGCGAAAUGCGAUAAGUAAUGUGAAUUGCAGAAUCCAGUGAAUCAUCGAAUCUUUGAACGCACAUUGCGCCCGCCAGCAUUCUGGCGGGCAUGCCUGUUCGAGCGUCAUUUCAACCCUCGACCUCCCUUUGGGGAAGUCGGCGUUGGGGACCGGCAGCACACCGCCGGCCCUGAAAUGGAGUGGCGGCCCGUCCGCGGCGACCUCUGCGUAGUAAACCAACUCGCACCGGAACCCCGACGUGGCCACGCCGUAAAACACCCAACUUCUGAACGUUGACCUCGAAUCAGGUAGGACUACCCGCUGAACUUAAGCAUAUCAAUAAGCGGAGGA